rnacentral:tRNA from 1 species
UCCCUGGUGGUCCAGUGCUAGGACUCCACAUUCCCAAUGCAGGGGGCCUGGGUUCAAUCCCAGGUCAGGAAA